CUACUAUUCAGGAAAUUAAAUCUGGCACCGUGUCCCCCGGACGCAGUGGAUUGAUAAGAUGCGAAGGUGCAGGUGUGCCGCCUCCGGCCUUUGAAUGGUACAAAGGAGAAAAGAAGCUCUUCAAUGGCCAACAAGGAAUUACUAUUCAAAAUUUUAGCACAAGAUCCAUUCUCACUGUCACCAAUGUGACACAGGAGCACUUCGGCAACUAUACUUGUGUGGCUGCCAACAAGCUGGGCACGACCAAUGCGAGCCUGCCUCUCAACCCUCCAAGCACGGCCCAGUAUGGAAUUACCGGGAGCGCCGACGUUCUUUUCCCCUGCUGGUACCUUGUGUUGACACUGUCCUCUUUCACCAGCCUAUUCUACCUGAAGAAUGCCAUUCUACAAUAAAUUUAAAGACCCAUAAAAGGCUUUUACGAAUUCUCUGAAAGUGCUGAUGGCUGGCUCCAAUCUGGUGCAGUUUGUUAGAACAGCGUGGGAUGUGAUCAGCAGUGCUUACGUGGGGAUGAUGGCCUUCUGUAGAAUUGCUCAUUAUGUAAAUACUUUCAUUCUACUCUUUUUUUUUUUUUUU